rnacentral:rRNA from 1 species
AUCGAACGCUGGCGGCAUGCCUAACACAUGCAAGUCGAACGAGUGGCGGACGGGUGAGGAAUGUCUGGGAAACUGCCUGAUGGAGGGGGAUAACUACUGGAAACGGUAGCUAAUACCGCAUACCAUCAUUUCUGCCCUGGUGGGUGUAGCUUGUUGGUGGGGUAACGGCUCACCAAGGCGACGAUACCUAGCUGGUCUGAGAGGAUGACCGGCAAAACGGGAACGGAGACACGGCCCAAAGUCCUACGGAGGGAAGCAGGGGGGAAUAUUGGACAAUGGGCGCAAGCCUGAUGCAGCAAUGCCGCGUGGAUGAAGAAGGCCUUCGGGUUGUAAAGUACUUUCAGCAGGGAGGCGUUACCCAAACAGGAAGCACCGGCUAACUCCGUGCCAGCAGCCGCGGUAAUUC